AGAGUUUGAUCCUGGCUCAGGACGAACGCUGGCGGCACGCUUAACACAUGCAAGUCGAACGAGAGAUCUGACUUCGGUUGGUGAUCUAGUGGCGCACGGGUGAGUAACGCGUGGGAAUCUACCCCAAGGUACGGGAUAACAGCUGGAAACGGCUGCUAAUACCGUAUGUGUCGUCUUGCCUGAGAGGGUGGGACGAGAAAGAUUUAUCGCCUUGGGAUGAGCCCGCGUUGGAUUAGCUAGUUGGUGGGGUAAAGGCCUACCAAGGCAACGAUCCAUAGCUGGUCUGAGAGGAUGAUCAGCCACACUGGAACUGAGACACGGUCCAGACUCCUACGGGAGGCAGCAGUGGGGAAUCUUGGACAAUGGGGGCAACCCUGAUCCAGCGAUGCCGCGUGAGUGAUGAAGGCCUUAGGGUUGUAAAACUCUUUUAUCCACGAAGAUGAUGACGGUAGUGGGUGAAUAAGCACCGGCUAACUCCGUGCCAGCAGCCGCGGUAAUACGGAGGGUGCUAGCGUUGUUCGGAUUUACUGGGCGUAA
rnacentral:rRNA from 1 species